rnacentral:rRNA from 1 species
GAUGAACGCUGGCGGCGUGCUUAACACAUGCAAGUCGAACGGAAAGGCUCCUGCUUGCAGGGGUACUCGAGUGGCGAACGGGUGAGUAACACGUGGGUGAUCUGCCCUGCACUUCGGGAUAAGCCUGGGAAACUGGGUCUAAUACCGGAUAGGACGAUGGUUUGGAUGCCAUUGUGGAAAGUUUUUUCGGUGUGGGAUGAGCUCGCGGCCUAUCAGCUUGUUGGUGGGGUAAUGGCCUACCAAGGCGUCGACGGGUAGCCGGCCUGAGAGGGUGUACGGCCACAUUGGGACUGAGAUACGGCCCAGACUCCUACGGGAGGCAGCAGUGGGGAAUAUUGCACAAUGGGCGCAAGCCUGAUGCAGCGACGCCGCGUGGGGGAUGACGGCCUUCGGGUUGUAAACUCCUUUCGCUAGGGACGGAGCGCAAGUGACGGUACCUGGAGAAGAAGCACCGGCUAACUACGUG